CACAGAGUAACAGUUAUGACAGAAAUGGGAGGCACUGAAAAUUGGGGAACUGAGCUGUGCUGCACUGCUAUUGCAUAUUUGCCAAUUUCCACAGGUAAGCCUGAAUAUGUUUCGCAAAUACAGUGGUGCAGUUGACAUUUGGUUGUCAUCUUUUAUCUCCUCAAGUUCGAAGCAACUGAUGUAUUGUCUAGUUAACUGUAGCCCAUCCAGAACCUUUGAGGCAAUGGCUGCACACAGAAGUCAGUGGGUUUGGUUCAGAAGAUUGUUUGUUAGGCUCUCGAGUUACACAUACGUAAACAUGCUCCAGAAAAUUUAGCAUUUGUUAUUGAGAAGUACCAUCUUGUCGAUAUAGAUUGUAUUACAAAAGCUUCCUAUGAUCGAGGACAGCAGUUUACGGAUCAUAUCCUUUACUGCAUAGUGAGAGUUUAUUGUAGACAGUCCAUUGUGUUAGUGUAAUUAUACUGAUACUUUUAACUUCAAGUGAUAGUUCUUGCUAAAAGUCCAGUUCCAGUGUUUGUGGUA